rnacentral:rRNA from 1 species
GAUGAACGCUGGCGGCGUGCCUAAUACAUGCAAGUCGAGCGAACGGACGAGAAGCUUGCUUUUCUGAUGUUAGCGGCGGACGGGUGAGUAACACGUGGAUAACCUACCUAUAAGACUGGGAUAACUUCGGGAAACCGGAGCUAAUACCGGAUAAUAUUUUGAACCGCAUGGUUCAAAAGUGAAAGACGGUCUUGCUGUCACUUAUAGAUGGAUCCGCGCUGCAUUAGCUAGUUGGUAAGGUAACGGCUUACCAAGGCAACGAUGCAUAGCCGACCUGAGAGGGUGAUCGGCCACACUGGAACUGAGACGCGGUCCAGACUCCUACGGGAGGCAGCAGUAGGGAAUCUUCCGAAAUGGGCGAAAGCCUGACGGAGCAACGCCGCGUGAGUGAUGAAGGUCUUCGGAUCGUAAAACUCUGUUAUUAGGGAAGAACAUAUGUGUAAGUAACUGUGCACAUCUUGACGGUACCUAAUCAGAAAGCCACGGCUAACUACGUG